AUUCUGUUUUAAAAAAUGAGUCUCAAAACUGGAACAACGUGGAGAAGAUUAGCAUGGCCCCCAUGUAAGCAUGACAAGCAAAUUCGUGAAGUGUUCCAUAUUUUA
rnacentral:snRNA from 1 species